UACGGAGGGAGCUAGCGUUGUUCGGAAUUACUGGGCGUAAAGCGCGCGUAGGCGGCUUUGUAAGUUAGAGGUGAAAGCCCGAAGCUCAACUUCGGAAUUGCCUUUAAGACUGCAUCGCUAGAAUCGUGGAGAGGUAAGUGGAAUUCCGAGUGUAGAGGUGAAAUUCGUAGAUAUUCGGAAGAACACCAGUGGCGAAGGCGACUUACUGGACACGUAUUGACGCUGAGGUGCGAAAGCGUGGGGAGCAAACAGG
rnacentral:rRNA from 1 species